rnacentral:rRNA from 1 species
GACGAACCGUACGAACGUUAUUCGGAAUCACUGGGCUUAAAGGGUGCGUAGGCGGUUCGAUAAGUUGGAUGUGAAAUCCCUCGGCUUAACCGAGGAAUAGCGUUCAAUACUGUCGAACUCGAGCGAGACAGAGGUGAGCGGAACUUAGGGUGGAGCGGUGAAAUGCGUUGAUAUCCUAAGGAACACCCGUGGCGAAAGCGGCUCACUGGGUCUCUUCUGACGCUGAUGCACGAAAGCUAGGGGAGCGAAGAGG